rnacentral:lncRNA from 1 species
GUGACAAGAAAGCAUUGCUGUAACAUACCAUGUGAGGAUGAUUCAAAGAUAAAGGCCUAUAAAAAUUAACGGUCAAAGAAGAAUGCGGACUAGUAAAGCAACAACCACCUUAUUAUAAACAGAGGUCUCUCCCUACUAGAAUGCAAGUUCCACGAGAGCAGAAUUUUUGUCUGCGUGGUUAGAAGAGUAUCCAGUACAUAGAGGAGGAUCCAAGAUGGCGCCAUGAGUAGUCCUCUUUGUCUCUCCCCCUUCGAGUCUACAAUUAUUUGGACACUCAUCGCUUAACAAAGGAUAUCCAGAUAGCAUCUCAGGACGUCUGAGAGACCCAUGCGACUAUACAUCGGAAGGCGGACGGACUUCCCUCCGGGAGGAUGUGGACAUAGGUGAAAACUCUCCGACCCUGACCGAACAGCCUAGUACCUGCAAGAGGCUUUCUUCCAACGGACGCCCCCAGAAGAUCAACACACACCUAGGGCAGGAGCAAGCACACAGCAGAGGAGCGACGGUGGAAACAGGAAGUGCUCAUGGAUACAGAAGAGUGUGCUGUAUGGACCAUCCAGGGUUCUUUGCUGUAAGUCAUGUAUUUGGCGCAUUGGAAAAGCUCUGGCUCUAAAAAUUAACCGUGUGCCGACUUCCUAUAAGCACACCAUUUAAGGCGUGUUAGAACCUUGCAGUUUAAAGACAGGCUGACUUUCACUUGAACACUGUGCCUUCCGCAGAUGCCCAGAAAAAGAGAUAUAUUGAUUGGGGAGGGGGGUGAUCCUGGAUCUACACAAAAAGAGGUAUGUUAAAGGGGACAUGAUAUCAGAUCUCAUCUCUUCACAGAGCAAGGUCUCUAUAAACCUGUGAGUACCUCCCUAGGAAGUCUGUACAACAAAACCUAAGUCCCAUUUUCAAAGAUAGCAGCAGAAACCAGCGUGAAUGAAAUCCAUGGCCCAAGUCACAAUAAUUUGAUUUAAAAAAAACAGUGUUUGUAGUGGAUUGAAAACUCUAUAAAUUAAUUUUUUAAAAAACAAUUUUUAAAUGAUA